AACGAACGCUGGCGGCAUGCCUAACACAUGCAAGUCGAACGAGACCUUCGGGUCUAGUGGCGCACGGGUGCGUAACGCGUGGGAACCUGCCCUUAGGUUCGGAAUAACUCCCCGAAAGGGGUGCUAAUACCGGAUAAUGUCUUCGGACCAAAGAUUUAUCGCCUUUGGAUGGGCCCGCGUUGGAUUAGCUAGUUGGUAGGGUAAAAGCCGACCAAGGCGACGAUCCAUAGCUGGUCUGUGAGGAUGAUCGGCCACACUGGGACUGGGACACGGCCCAGACGCCACGGAGAGGAGGGGGUGGGGAAAAAUGGGCAGGGGGCCAAAUCCUGACCCAGCGAGGCCGGGGUGGCGAAGAAGGCCUUGGGGUUGUAAAUCUCUUUUACCCGGGAUGAAAAGACGGGUACCGGGAAAAAAACCCCCGCUAAACUCCGU
rnacentral:rRNA from 1 species